rnacentral:lncRNA from 1 species
GGUCUUUUACGUCGGCCUUCGCGAGCGUCUGGGCGGGUGGUAGGUGAGUGGGUAUUGCGGGCUAGUAUCCGAGCAAAAGAUGGUGGCGCAGGCCGAGUUAAGAGCUUUAAUCCUGUGAAGACAUCUUAGUGAAGAGUUUAGAGUGCUGAGAGUUGAAAGCUUGCACGUGGGAAACGUGCGGCCGGACUGCCACAUGUACUGAGGUUGAGUCGUGACGGCCACAGGCUCCGAGUUUUGGCGUGAGGAACCGCUGAUCGGCCACGGGCGCCGAACUUGCUGGCCUCCGGCAUGUGCCUGAGCGGCGGCGGAAAAACCACCUUAAUUGGGGCGGAGGGUUAGUUUUAACAGCAAAGGGCCUUUACUAAAAUGGCGAAGGCCUUCCGUCGGCGUUGUUUUAAAAUGGGAAGCCUCGACCCUGUAUUGAAACUGAGCUGUUCGAAGGCGGCGUUGUGUGCAAUUCGGAUUAAUGAAGGGGAAGGGUUUUGUGUGGAAAAACGCCUUGGAGUGUGACAUUUCUGCGAGAAUGCUUAAAUACCGAUUUCCCGCAGGAACAAUGGCGCUGUCUUCAGUGGCACAGUGGAGCAGCUCUGAAGAUGCAAAGUGAGGGUCGCUGUCUGCCCAUUGAUAGAGGCCAGAUUGUCUUGGAAGUUCCAAAGUUGCAACGAUUUCUAAUCUCGUGUUUUUCCUUUUCUAGGGCUAGUGCCACGAGGUUUACUUGACUGUUGUGUGAAAAGCUGAUAAGAAAACCAUCCAGAAAAAAGCUCUUCGUUUUACAAACAUGAAAAUAAAACAUGUAAUUUUGGA